GGUACACGCUGUGACUAGCAUAUCAAUAAGCGGAGGAAAAGAAACUAACAAGGAUUCCCCUAGUAACGGCGAGUGAAGCGGGAAGAGCUCAAAUUUGAAAUCUUAAAGGGUUUCCCUUUACGAAUUGUAGUUUAAAGAAGUGUUUUCUGUUGAGGUUUUGGUAAAAGUUCUUCGGAAUAGGACAUCAUAGAGGGUGAGAAUCCCGUAUUUGACCUUUACUUUCAACUUUGUGAUACACUUUCAAAGAGUCGGAUUGUUUGGGAAUGCAGUCCAAAAUGGGUGAGUAAAUUUCAUCUAAAGCUAAAUAUUGGCGAGAGACCGAUAGCGAACAAGUACCGUGAGGGAAAGAUGAAAAGAACUUUGAAAAGAGAGUUAAACAGUACGUGAAAUUGUCAAAAGGGAAGCGUUUGACACCAGUGUUGUUUUUCUGUAAAUCAAUUAAAGAACUGUUUAUGCUAAGCUGUUUAGACUUUAUCAGCUAUCUGUUUAGUUUUGAGCUUUUCUUUAAUGCACUUUUCAGUUAACAAGUCAACAUCAAUUUCUUUUGCUGUAAAAAAGCUUGAGGAAGGUGGCUUGAGAUUCGUCUUAAGUGUUUAUAGCCUCUUGCCUAUGCAGUCGGAGAGAUUGAGGUCUGCAGCGUAGAUCCUUCGGGGCUAAAUGCAUUUGUGCUAAGUUAUAGCAUUUCAUAGACAACUUGUUGACUAUGAUUUGUCUUGUAGCUUACUCGCUUAUGUUAUUUUACCUACGCUUAGGAUGUUGACGCGCGUGUGUGCGUG
rnacentral:rRNA from 1 species